rnacentral:rRNA from 1 species
UACGUAGGGUGCAAGCGUUAAUCGGAAUUACUGGGCGUAAAGCGUGCGCAGGCGGUUAUGUAAGACAGGGGUGAAAUCCCAGGGCUUAACCUUGGAACUGCAUUUGUGACUGCAUAGCUAGAGUACGGUAGAGGGGGAUGGAAUUCCGCGUGUAGCAGUGAAAUGCGUAGAUAUGCGGAGGAACACCAGUGGCGAAGGCGGCCACCUGGACCGUCCCUGACGCUCAAACACGAAAGCUAGGGUAGCGAACGGG